UACGAAGGGUGCAAGCGUUACUCGGAAUUAUUGGGCGUAAAGGGUGCGUAGGUGGGUUGGUAAGUCAGUGGUGAAAUCUCCAGGCUUAACUUGGAAACUGCCAUUGAUACUAUCACUCUUGAAUACCGUGGAGGUCAGCGGAAUAUGUCAUGUAGCGGUGAAAUGCUUAGAUAUGACAUAGAACACCAAUUGCGAAGGCAGCUGGCUACACGAAUAUUGACACUGAUGCACGAAAGCGUGGGGAUCAAACAGG
rnacentral:rRNA from 1 species